rnacentral:pre_miRNA from 1 species
AAUAAGUGCAGCCGUGGAUAUCCGUGUUCAACGUUUGACCGUUCGUCUUAUUUGAAAAAUUUGUGAAAAAUUUAAAAAUAUUUAGUCACACAUAAAGUACUAUUCAUGUUUUAUCAUCUAAUAGCAAUAAAAAUACUAAUCAUAAAAAAAUUCAAAUAAGACAAACGGUCAAACGUUGAACAUGAAUAGUGUAAAACUGCACUUAUU